rnacentral:sRNA from 1 species
CAAUAAACCUUAUUGAAGCGGCUAUCCUUUUUGGUGCAGAAACAAAAAAUGUGCCUGCAAACCCUCACAAAAAGAUAAUAGCGGAAAGAAGGACUGAUC